rnacentral:sRNA from 1 species
GCUGGGCGCAGUGGCGCAUGCCUGUAAUCCCAGUGCUCAGGAGGCUGAGGCAGGAGGAUUGAGAGUUCAAAGCCAGCUUCAGCAAUGGCAGGGCACUAAGCAACUCAGUGAGACCCUGUCUCUA